GAUAAAGAAAAGCUGGUUGGGGGGAAGGAAAUACACGUCGAGCAAAGAGAAUUCAGGUUUUUGUGUCAUGCUUCUUCACUGUGGCCGUCACAACGGGAUUGGCCUGGUCAUGAACCUGUCUUUGGAUAUGGAACUAAACUCACUGUUCUGGAUUCAAACCGUUCUAUCACCCCGCCAACAGUGACGGUGCUUCGACCUUCACAAAACAAGUGUCGAAACAACAAAGACGAGAAAAGGAGGAAGACCUUGGUGUGCGUGGCCUCUCGUUUCUACCCGGACCACGUGAGUGUGUUCUGGCAGAUCGACGGGGUAAAUGUGGAAACGGAUGGCGUGGCGACCGACAACGCUGCCCUGUGGGAAGGUGAACAUUACAGCAUCACCAGCAGGCUGAGGGUCCCGCUCAGGGAGUGGUUCACACCAGGCAAGAAGUUCACCUGCACCGUCAGCUUCUUCAACGGGAACGAGACCGUGCACCGUUCAGACUGGGUCGAAGGCGUUGAAGGACCAGGAGCUGGAGCGAUAAGAGAGAAAUAUUUGAGGAUCACGCACACUGCCAAGCUGUCCUACGUUGUUUUGAUCUUCAAGAGCAGCGUCUUCGGAGUCUUUGUGGUGUUUCUGGCGUGGAGGCUUCAGGGUCGUCUGGAAAACAGCGGGACUGAGAGCUGAGCUGCACAAAGCAGCUGAUUCUCCUGAUUUCUGUGAAUAGAGAUUAUAAAGUGUGCAUGCUGAAGUGCAUUUUGCUUUCAAAUCAGUUGCUCACAUUCUGCACAAAUUAGAGCAACUUGCUUGACUUAAACAGUAGGGCUGUCAAAAUGAAAGUGAUAAUAACUGUUAAUGCAAAUUUGUUUUAACGCCACUGAUUUCUUUAAUGUAUUAAUGUAACUUUUGACUUUUAGGUUGUAGUGGGCUCAGUUUUAAAUCUAGAGUGAAGAUACUGGUAUCAUAUGAAACUAGGAAACCUGAUGAAUCCAUAAGUACCAACCAUCAUCGUCAUACUAGCUUUAAAGAAGGUUAAAUAACGCUCUAAACUUACAUUACAUUUUGAAGAAGAAUAACUGUCAUGUCCAUUUUCAAAGGGGCCCCUUGACCUCUGACCUCCAGAUAUGUGAAUGUAAAUGGGUUCUAUGGGUACC